GUACAGAGGUCCCGAGCGUUGUUCGGAUUCACUGGGCGUAAAGGGUGCGUAGGUGGCAAGGUAAGUUUGAUGUGAAAAUCUUCGAGCUCAACUCGGAAACUGCAUUGAAUACUAUCUUGCUUGAGGAUUGGAGGGGAGGCUGGAAUUCUCGGUGUAGCAGUGAAAUGCGUAGAUAUCGAGAGGAACACCAGUGGCGAAGGCGGAGUCUCUAGAACACUCCUGACACUGAGGCACGAAGCUAGGGGAGCAAACAGG
rnacentral:rRNA from 1 species